GUGUCAGCAGCCGCGGUAAUACGUAGGUGGCAAGCGUUGUCCGGAUUUAUUGGGCGUAAAGCGAGCGCAGGCGGUUCUUUAAGUCUGAUGUGAAAGCCCCCGGCUCAACCGGGGAGGGUCAUUGGAAACUGGAGAACUUGAGUGCAGAAGAGGAGAGUGGAAUUCCACGUGUAGCGGUGAAAUGCGUAGAUAUGUGGAGGAACACCAGUGGCGAAGGCGACUCUCUGGUCUGUAACUGACGCUGAGGCUCGAAAGCGUGGGGAGCAAACAGGAUUAGAUACCCUGGUAGUCCACGCCGUAAACGAUGAGUGCUAAGUGUUGGAGGGUUUCCGCCCUUCAGUGCUGCAGCUAACGCAUUAAGCACUCCGCCUGGGGAGUACGGCCGCAAGGCUGAA
rnacentral:rRNA from 1 species